UUGAACGCUGGCGGCAUGCUUUACACAUGCAAGUCGAACGGCAGCGCGGGCUUCGGCCUGGCGGCGAGUGGCGAACGGGUGAGUAAUACAUCGGAACGUGCCCAGUAGUGGGGGAUAGCGCGGCGAAAGCCGGAUUAAUACCGCAUACGACCUGAGGGUGAAAGCGGGGGAUCUUAGGACCUAGCGCUAUUGGAGCGGCCGAUGGCAGAUUAGCUAGUUGGUGGGGUAAAGGCCUACCAAGGCGACGAUCUGUAGCUGAUCUGAGAGGACGACCAGCCACACUGGGACUGAGACACGGCCCAGACUCCUACGGGAGGCAGCAGUGGGGAAUUUUGGACAAUGGGCGAAAGCCUGAUCCAGCAAUGCCGCGUGUGUGAUGAAGGCCUUCGGGUUGUAAAGCACUUUUGGCGGGAACGAAAAGGACUGUGCCAAUACCACGGUUCGAUGACGGUACCCGCAGAAUAAGCACCGGCUAACUACGUG
rnacentral:rRNA from 1 species